AUUGAACGCUGGCGGAAUGCUUUACACAUGCAAGUCGAACGGCAGCACGGACUUCGGUCUGGUGGCGAGUGGCGAACGGGUGAGUAAUACAUCGGAACGUGCCCAGUCGUGGGGGAUAACGUAGCGAAAGCUACGCUAAUACCGCAUACGAUCUAAGGAUGAAAGCGGGGGAUCGCAAGACCUCGCGCGAUUGGAGCGGCCGAUGGCAGAUUAGGUAGUUGGUGGGGUAAAGGCUCACCAAGCCGACGAUCUGUAGCUGGUCUGAGAGGACGACCAGCCACACUGGGACUGAGACACGGCCCAGACUCCUACGGGAGGCAGCAGUGGGGAAUUUUGGACAAUGGGCGCAAGCCUGAUCCAGCCAUUCCGCGUGCAGGAUGAAGGCCCUCGGGUUGUAAACUGCUUUGUACGGAACGAAAAGGUCCUGGUUAAUACCCGGGNUCAUGACGGUACCGUAAGAAUAAGCACCGGCUAACUACGUG
rnacentral:rRNA from 1 species